UCGAAUAUCAUCGUCCAAAUUUCAAUUCCAAUAGCAUAUAUGGGUGCCAAAGUAAUUAAUACUUUUCUCGAAAUUUUGCUCCUCAUAGUUCUCAUAAUGUCUCCUCAAAUUGUUGUAGCCAGAGAACUUGCACAGACUACCAUUGUUCAUGGUGACGCGACAGAGAUUGAUCCAGCUUACGGGGGGUCCACGUGCUACUACGGCCAACGGGAACCCUGCUACACUCCGCCCACGCCCAACCGACAUCCUUGAGUAUUCAAGCCCGAACUAGAGAUUUUGGCAAUGUAUGAAUGAUAGUAUUAAUUUCAUACAUAUUAUCCACAUUUUAUUUGGUUGUUGACGAUCAUGUUAUAUCUUGUAAUUUUUGGUCCGUGUUAUAUAUAAAAGUUUAUGCGACUUUAUA